rnacentral:rRNA from 1 species
AUUGAACGCUGGCGGCAUGCCUUACACAUGCAAGUCGAACGGCAGCACGAGUGCUUGCACCUGGUGGCGAGUGGCGAACGGGUGAGUAAUACAUCGGAACAUGUCCUGUAGUGGGGGAUAGCCCGGCGAAAGCCGGAUUAAUACCGCAUACGAUCUACGGAUGAAAGCGGGGGACCUUCGGGCCUCGCGCUAUAGGGUUGGCCGAUGGCUGAUUAGCUAGUUGGUGGGGUAAAGGCCUACCAAGGCGACGAUCAGUAGCUGGUCUGAGAGGACGACCAGCCACACUGGGACUGAGACACGGCCCAGACUCCUACGGGAGGCAGCAGUGGGGAAUUUUGGACAAUGGGCGAAAGCCUGAUCCAGCAAUGCCGCGUGUGUGAAGAAGGCCUUCGGGUUGUAAAGCACUUUUGUCCGGAAAGAAAUCCUUGGCCCUAAUACGGUCGGGGGAUGACGGUACCGGAAGAAUAAGCACCGGCUAACUACGUG